CGGACGGGUGAGUAAUGCUUGGGGAUAUGCCUUAUGUGGGGGACAACAGUUGGAAACGACUGCUAAUACCGCAUAACGUCUACGGACCAAAGGGGGGGGAUCUUCGGACCUCUCGCCAUUUGAUUAGCCCAAGUGAGAUUAGCUAGUAGGUGAGGUAAAGGCUCACCUAGGCGACGAUCUCUAGCUGGUUUGAGAGGAUGAUCAGCCACACUGGGACUGAGACACGGCCCAG
rnacentral:rRNA from 1 species